rnacentral:rRNA from 1 species
AACGAACGCUGGCGGCAGGCUUAACACAUGCAAGUCGAACGCCCCGCAAGGGGGAGUGGCAGACGGGUGAGUAACACGUGGGAACGUGCCCUAAGGUUUGGAAUAUUCCCGGGAAACUGGGAGCAAUACCAAAUGUGUCCGCAAGGAGAAAGAUUUAUCGCCUUAGGAUCGGCCCGCGUUGGAUUAGCUAGUUGGUGGGGUAAAAGCCUACCAAGGCGACGAUCCAUAGCUGGUCUGAGAGGACGACCAGCCACACUGGGACUGAGACACGGCCCAGACUCCUACGGGAGGCAGCAGUGGGGAAUCUUGGACAAUGGGCGCAAGCCUAGAUCCAGCCCAUGCCGCGUGAGUGAUGAA